rnacentral:rRNA from 1 species
UGGGGAAGUUUGGACAAUGGGCGCAAGCCUGAUCCAGCAAUGCCGCGUGUGUGAAGAAGGCCUUCGGGUUGUAAAGCACUUUUGUCCGGAAAGAAAACCUCGUGGUUAAUACCCGUGGGGGAUGACGGUACCGGAAGAAUAAGCACCGGCUAACUACGUGCCAGCAGCCGCGGUAAUACGUAGGGUGCAAGCGUUAAUCGGAAUUACUGGGCGUAAAGCGUGCGCAGGCGGUUCGCUAAGACAGAUGUGAAAUCCCCGGGCUUAACCUGGGAACUGCAUUUGUGACUGGCGGGCUAGAGUAUGGCAGAGGGGGGUAGAAUUCCACGUGUAGCAGUGAAAUGCGUAGAGAUGUGGAGGAAUACCGAUGGCGAAGGCAGCCCCCUGGGCCAAUACUGACGCUCAUGCACGAAAGCGUGGGGAGCAAACAGG